rnacentral:rRNA from 1 species
UACGGGGGGGGCAAGCGUUGUUCGGAAUUACUGGGCGUAAAGGGCUCGUAGGCGCCAACUAAGUCAUACGUGAAAUCCCUCGGCUUAACCGGGGAACUGCGUCUGAUACUGGAUGGCUUGAGUUCGGGAGAGGGAUGCGGAAUUCCAGGUGUAGCGGUGAAAUGCGUAGAUAUCUGGAGGAACACCGGUGGCGAAGGCGGCAUCCUGGACCGAUACUGACGCUGAGGAGCGAAAGCCAGGGGAGCAAACGGG